GGGAAUGUGGCUUAGUGGUAGAGUGCUUGCCUUACGUGCAUGAAGCCCUGGGUUCGAUACCGCAGCACCA
rnacentral:tRNA from 1 species